rnacentral:rRNA from 1 species
UCCAUGAAGUUGGAUUCGCUAGUAAUCGCGCAUCAGCCACGGCGCGGUGAAUACGUUCCCGGGCCUUGUACACACCGCCCGUCAAGCCAUGGAAGCCGGGAGUGCCUGAAGUACGCGACCGCAAGGAGCGUCCUAAGGUAAAACCGGUGACUGGGGCUAAGUCGUAACAAGGUACC